AGUCCUGUAGCUCAGUGGUUAGAGCACUCCCCUCGAAAGCAAGAGUCCUGGGUUCAAUUCCCAGCUGGGUGA